rnacentral:rRNA from 1 species
GACGAACCGAGCGAACGUUAUUCGGAAUCACUGGGCUUAAAGGGCGCGUAGGCGGGCCAUCAAGUCAGGGGUGAAAGCCCCCAGCUCAACUGGGGAAGUGCCUUUGAUACUGGUGGUCUCGAGGGGGAUAGGGGCGUGCGGAACUUCCGGUGGAGCGGUGAAAUGCGUAGAUAUCGGAAGGAACACCGGUGGCGAAAGCGGCGCGCUGGAUCCCGUUCUGACGCUGAGGCGCGAAAGCCAGGGGAGCGAACGGG